GUUUCAGGGCGAGGUGAGAUUCCUCACCGGCGGUAGAGUCCGCGAACUUGCUGGAACCCCAUUCCGCGCAGGCGGGGAGGGGUCAUGCGAGCCGACCAGGUGAAAUUCCUGGACCGACGGUAAUAGUCCGGAUGGGAGAAA
rnacentral:ncRNA from 1 species